rnacentral:misc_RNA from 1 species
GCCGCCGCGCCCACCGCCUCCACCAGCGGUGGAGACCAAGAGCCACCGCCACCACUAACAGACACCGAGAUCGUAAACCUGGCCCAUCAAGGUAACCUCCAUGAUUACCUUUUCUCUGCAUCUUCCCACGCUACUCUCCUCUCCCACCUUCACACCCGCUCUCGUUCUCCCACUCCGUCCAUCGCCGUCUCCGAGUACACUCUCUCUCUGCUGUCCCUAAUUUCCCUCUCUCCACACCACCCUUCCCUAUCUUCCCUCCUAUCCUCUCUCCUCUCUGCGUACACCCGCCUCUUCCUUUCUUUCCAA